GUCGAACGCUGGCGGCGUGCUUAACACAUGCAAGUCGAACGAGUGGCGAACGGGUGAGUAACACGUGGGUGACAUGCCCUGCACUUCGGGAAAAGCCUGGGAAAAUGGGUGUAAUACCGGCUAGUGCGGGCAGGGCUGGCGGCCUAUCAGAUGGUUGGUGGGGGAAUGGCUACCAAGGCGCGACGGGUAGCCGGCGUGAGAGGGUGGACGGCCACAUUGGGACUGAGACACGGCCCAGACUCCUACGGGAGGCAGCAGUGGGGAAUAUUGCACAAUGGGCGCAAGCCUGAUGCAGCCAUGCCGCGUGUAUGAAGAAGGCCUUAGGGUUGUAAAGUACUUUCAGCGGGGAGGCGUUACCCGCAGAAGAAGCACCGGCUAACUCCGUGCCAGCCGCCGCGGUAAUUC
rnacentral:rRNA from 1 species